GUUUGAAAUAUCUGUGUCAUGUGGUAGAGAAUACUGUAUUUGGUGACUUUCUACAUAGUACCUAUGGGCUCUGACACACAUUUUGCAGGUAGUGUGAGAUAUUCUUGUGAAAGGUAUAUGUACAAAAUGCUUCUUUUACAUAUUUUGCCAACAGUAUACAUUUAUUCCCCAAUGCUAAUGGAUUCUCUGGCUUCAGGACAGAAACUAAAACACAUUCAUUAUGUACUGCUACAGAGUGAACCUCAUGCAGUAAA
rnacentral:lncRNA from 1 species